AAGGAUCAUUCACAAUAUCCUCUUUUUUUUUCAUUUUUCGUUUUCUUGUUUUGUGAUGAAACAAUGAACAAUGAACAAAUGAAGGGUGACAACAAAGCCCAAAUUUAUGUGUACUGUACUCAGGGUUGAUAUCAAUUCUUCCCUGAUUUCAUUCAUCUGCUCGUAAAUAAAAUAACGAAUUAAAUGGGAAAAAUGGAAGGCAAAUAUAAUAAAUCGUUAUUUUGGCAUUUUAGAAUGACAAUGUAUGAAAAUAUUUAUAAAUAUAAAUAUAACUUUCAACAAUGGAUCUCUUGGCUCUC
rnacentral:misc_RNA from 1 species